UCGAAUCGAUGAUUCACUCCACUAAAUAUAAUCUAAAAUAUUUAAAACUUCUAGAAAUCAAAUUUCAUAAUUUUUCGAUAUCAUUUACCUUACGAUCAAAAGGUCACAAAAUUGACAAUUUUUAACGGCCGGUGUGGGAUACUUGUUAGUUUAAUGGUAUAAAAGAAUUGCAAAAAGUUGAAUUUUUUAUAGAAAAUUCUAAAUAAUGUUUCAUGGCUUUGAUCAUUGAUUCCUAAGUUAUAUAAUUGAAAACGACUUAUGAGUACGAAGACGAUCGUACUCAUAAUAGUCGGAUUCUCUCUCUCUCUCUCUCUCUCUCUCUCUCUCUCUCUCUCUCUCUCUCUAUAUAUAUAUAUAU
rnacentral:lncRNA from 1 species